GAUGAACGCUGGCGGCGUGCCUAAUACAUGCAAGUCGAGCGAACGGACGAGAAGCUUGCUUCUCUGAUGUUAGCGGCGGACGGGUGAGUAACACGUGGAUAACCUACCUAUAAGACUGGGAUAACUUCGGGAAACCGGAGCUAAUACCGGAUAAUAGUUUGAACCGCAUGGUUCAAAAGUGAAAGACGGUCUUGCAGUCACUUAUAGAUGGAUCCGCGCUGCAUUAGCUAGUUGGUAAGGUAACGGCUUACCAAGGCAACGAUGCAUAGCCGACCUGAGAGGGUGAUCGGCCACACUGGAACUGAGACACGGUCCAGACUCCUACGGGAGGCAGCAGUAGGGAAUCUUCCGCAAUGGGCGGAAGCCUGACGGAGCAACGCCGCGUGAGUGAUGAAGGUCUUCGGAUCGUAAAACUCUGUUAUUAGGGAAGAACAUAUGUGUAAGUAACUGUGCACAUCUUGACGGUACCUAAUCAGAAAGCCACGGCUAACUACGUG
rnacentral:rRNA from 1 species